rnacentral:rRNA from 1 species
AACGAUGAAGGAGAGCUUGCUCUCCGGAUUAGUGGCGCACGGGUGAGUAAUGCAUAGAUAAUGUGCCCCUUAGUUCGGGAUAGCCACUGGAAACGGUGAUUAAUACCGGAUACUCCUUCUUGUCUCAAGGCAAGUCGGGAAAGUUUUUCGCUAAGGGAUCAGUCUAUGUCCUAUCAGCUAGUUGGUGAGGUAAUGGCUCACCAAGGCUAUGACAGGUAUCUGGUUUGAGAGGAUGAUCAGACACACUGGAACUGAGACACGGUCCAGACUCCUACGGGAGGCAGCAGUGAGGAAUAUUGCACAAUGGAGGAAACUCUGAUGCAGCAACGCCGCGCGGAGGAUGACGCAUUUCGGUGUGUAAACUCCUUUUAUUAGGGAAGAUAAUGACGGUACCUAAUGAAUAAGCACCGGCUAACUCCGUGCCAGCAGCCGCGGUAAUACGGAGGGUGCAAGCGUUACUCGGAAUCACUGGGCGUAAAGGGUGCGUAGGCCGGCUUUUAAGUCAGAUGUGAAAUCCAAUGGCUUAACCAUUGAACUGCAUUUGAAACUGAAAGCCUAGAGUUCAGAAGGGGCAGAUGGAAUUAGUGGUGUAGGGGUAAAAUCCGUAGAUAUCACUAGGAAUAUCAAAAGCGAAGGCGAUCUGCUGGGAUGAUACUGACGCUGAGGCACGAAAGCGUGGGGGAGCAAACAGGAUUAGAUACCCUGGUAGUCCACGCCCUAAACGAUGAAUGCUAGUCGUCGGGAAGCUCGUCUUUUCGGUGACGCACUUAACAGAUUAAGCAUUCCGCCUGGGGAGUACGG